rnacentral:tRNA from 1 species
GCCGCUGUGGUGGAAUUGGCAGACACCUUGGACUUAAAAUCCAAUGCUGGCAACAGCGUACCGGUUCGAGCCCGGUCAGCGGCACCA